GAGUUAUGGUUUGGCUUCAGUGCUGUCACUGCUUCUCUGGUGUUUUCCUCGCAAGUGUGCAAGGGGUCCGGGUGGCUUAGACAGCCUAGUGACACACCCUGCCAGGUGCUGGGGGACGGUCCUGCCUUGCCCCUUGGGAAAGAGAGAGAUUGUCAGUUCGGGUGCAGAAAAUGGGAGGAGAUCUUUCCGGUCUUAUUCCGUUACGGCAAAGGGCUGCUGGCUUUUCGGCUACAUAAAUAAGACCCCUUCUACCUAAGUCCAGAGAAUAAAUGCAAAAGUACUGCUUGAGUUGAA
rnacentral:lncRNA from 1 species